rnacentral:rRNA from 1 species
UUAAAUUGAAGAGUUUGAUCAUGGCUCAGAUUGAACGCUGGCGGCAGGCCUAACACAUGCAAGUCGAACGGUAACAGGAGGCAGCUUGCUGCUUUG